AACUUUGAGUGAAGAUUUUGAUUUUUGUAAUGGGAUUCUGGAGUGAAAACACAAAGAAUGUUUUAUAUCCCUGUUCCAUUUCCCUUCACCCUUCUGCUGCCUACUCCUAUUUCUCUAUUCUCCACACUCCCAAGAUGUCCCUCAUUCAGGCCCAUCCCCAAAAAUAUUGCUGAGAAUCUAGUUUGAAGUCAGGAAUGGGUGGUAGCUGCCUUCUCUUUGGGACUAAGUGGCAGCUCUCAGGUGGUCUCAUGAUCUUCACUUGGGAAAGAAUAGGAGACCUGUUAAAAUGAUGCUGCUCUUGGGGCCCCAAAUUAGAGCUUAUCAAUCCAUAGAUAUAAUCAUGUCUGUUGCCGAGGUUCCCCUAUUUGCAGUUAUUCCAUUUGGGGCACUCUGGCGAAACGUUUAAGUUUCAUACUUUAGAGAGUUUGUGAUCCAGUUAAAAUCCUGUCAUCACAUCUCCCUCCUAGCCAUUCUGAAUGUCCUGCCCACCUCAGAAUCCUAGACAAGAAUAGAAUGGUGGUUUUUGAGGCUGAAUUCAUUGAGUCUCAACUAUCUCAUUGACCUGAAAUACUGAGGAGACUCGCUGUUGCUACCAAGUUUUAGGUCCUUAACAAGCAGGUGGAAAUUUCUUACUGAAAAUUUCCUACAAUGUCCUGGUAUAGGGACUGCUUGCAUAGCCCAUUUUCUGCCUUGUGACACUUUACAUCUAGCUCAAUACUUACUGAAAAGCCCACUUUUCCCUUUCUUCUUUUAAACCUUUUCUUCCACAUAUCAGAUGCUGGUUGAUUUUUUUUUUUUUCCAUUCCAGCUUAUCCAUUAAUAAGAAAAAAAUUCAGCAGCCAGCUGAGCCUGGAUUUCUGUUGACUGAACUUUAAAGGGUUGGCUUCAGCAAAUGGCAUCUUGUGCUGCAGCAACUGACAGAGGGACAAGCAAACAACUCAUAUAUAGAAAUAGUCCUACCCCUUUAGCCAAUGAAAGAACCCUUCUCUCUCCCUUGUAGAGAGUGUGCUUGAAGCAAUCCAUAUUUUUUAUAAGAAGGGCCCUAGGAUUGUCUUCCAAGGAAGUUCCUGGCCUCCCCCUCUCCCCCCUUUUUUUUUUCUCUUAACUGCAUUAGGGAGAAAUCUUCAACUUGGUUUCCAUUUGAGGGUUUUUGUGGGAGGGGGACAGGGAUAAGAAAUUUGUCAUGUAGUUAAGUAGAUGAGAAAUAUUAAUCCAAUUUUGUUCAAGAGUUGCUUGUCCAUAUGAUUUUUAAAAGUCAGGUUUAGUUUCACAGGAACAUUUUUUUUUUUUUUUUUUGAAAUUACUUUUGGGGUAAUAUUUAAAAUGAAAGAAGUUUUGUAACCCUGUAAAAUAAUUACAUAGGGAAUAUAACAUUCCAGUGUACACAAA
rnacentral:lncRNA from 1 species